AUUGAACGCUGGCGGCAUGCUUUACACAUGCAAGUCGGACGAGUGGCGAACGGGUGAGUAACGCAUCGGAACGUACCGAGUAAUGGGGGAUAACUGGCCGAAAGGACAGCUAAUACCGCAUAUUAUUCGAGCGGCAGGUGUCUGACGAGCUGGUGGGCGGGGUAAAGGCCUCACAAGGCGACGAUAAGUAGCGGGUCUGCGAGGAUGAUCCGCAACACUGGGACUGAGACACGGCCCAGACGCCUACGGGAGGCAGAAGUGGGGAAUUUUGGACAAUGGGCGCAAGCCUGAUCCAGCCAUGCCGCGUGUGUGAAGAAGGCCUUCGGGUUGUAAAGGACUUUUGGUAGGGAAGCGGUACCUGAAGAAUAAGCACCGGCUAACUACGUGCCAGCAGCCGCGGUAAUAC
rnacentral:rRNA from 1 species